rnacentral:rRNA from 1 species
GUAGGGAAUCUUCCACAAUGGACGCAAGUCUGAUGGAGCAACGCCGCGUGAGUGAAGAAGGUCUUCGGAUCGUAAAGCUCUGUUGUUGGUGAAGAAGGAUAGAGGCAGUAACUGGUCUUUAUUUGACGGUAAUCAACCAGAAAGUCACGGCUAACUACGUGCCAGCAGCCGCGGUAAUACGUAGGUGGCAAGCGUUGUCCGGAUUUAUUGGGCGUAAAGCGAGCGCAGGCGGAAUGAUAAGUCUGAUGUGAAAGCCCACGGCUCAACCGUGGAACUGCAUCGGAAACUGUCAUUCUUGAGUGCAGAAGAGGAGAGUGGAACUCCAUGUGUAGCGGUGGAAUGCGUAGAUAUAUGGAAGAACACCAGUGGCGAAGGCGGCUCUCUGGUCUGCAACUGACGCUGAGGCUCGAAAGCAUGGGUAGCGAACAGGAUUAGAUGCCCUGGUAGUCCAUGCCGUAAACGAUGAGCGCUAGGUGUUGGGGACUUUCCGGUCCUCAGUGCCGCAGCAAAACG